AGAAAAGGAGAGGUGGGGUUUUUAUUGAUUUAAAUGGAAAAUUAAGAGAAGAGGGAAGGAGAGGAAAGUGAUUUUCCAAAAAAAAUCCUACAUCCAAAAUUCUUAAAAACACAAAUCCAAAAAAAGGGGAAAAAGUUAUUGCAACACGUUACAAAAAAAACUAAAACUAAGUAUUAAAAUUUCCGCUGUCAUUUGCUUUGUCGUCGCUUGCAAAGGGGCUGCUACCUGAAACACGACAAAAAAAGAAAUUUCGAUUCAAGGUAAUCAUUCAAACAUUUCUAUUCGAAAGCAUUCACACAACAUUCAUACAUACACAUUGUUGUACUUAUACUCCCUUAAACUACCGUCAAUUCUAAUAUUCAUUGUGACUAAUCAAGUGAACGUUUCAUGUUAGUAAAUAAGGCUAACAAACCCUUAAAAUAAGUUUUAAAAAUCAACUAAAGUUGCUGGAAAUUAUGAUAAACAAAGAAACCUAUAAUUAUCUUUCAUCAGAGAUCCAAAAAAUCAUGAAACUUGCAGUAUAAUCGAGUUAAAACACAGAUUAUUCGACUAAACAAGUUGCUGAACUUUUUUUUUACAUUAGCUAAAGUCAAGUUUUGUUACAAUAGAACUUGGAUAAAAUAUUUAAACUACUACUAUAAUCUCAAUAACGAAACUAAGUCAGUUCCUUAGGUAGCUAAUCAAGAAACAGAAAUCAAUAAAAAGUAGGCUAGACUUUUUUACCAAACUGCUUUCUCUCUAUCUCUGUUUUUCCACCAUUGUCGUCGAUUUCCGCUUCUAACCGAGAAAUCAAAAACAGAAUAAAAAAGGGGUUUCAAUCCUAGGUUUAUAGGUCGGGGCUUGCAUGUCACCGGAGGACCCGUCGGAACCUCCGACGACGAUAUGCAACCCCGGAUCUGGGUUAAACAAGAGAAAAACAACAAAAAAAGACUUUCAGAAAUGUUUUUACCUUUUUUCUCGUUGUUGAUGACUAAGGACAGAGAGGAAGAGGAGAAAGGAAGGGGAAGAAGAAAAAAAGAAAAGAAAAGGAAAAGGGAGAAGCGGCAGCGGCCGCCGUCGAGAAGGAAGAGAAGAGAGAAAGGAGAGGAAGGAGAAGAGGAAGAAGAGAAGAAAAAAAAAAAGAAAGGGGAAGAGGAAGCGUUGCGAUGCCGCCGGCGACGACGGUGAGGCGACGGUGGCGGCGACGAGGCGGCGGAGGCGGCAGCGAGGUAGAGGAGGCGAUGAUGAGGCGACGGCUAAGAGGAAGAAGAAGAGAAGGGAGAAAGAGAGUUAGAGAGAGGGGAGAUAUUUUUAGAAAGAAGUCAGAGAGAAUUGAGAGGAGAGUAGAGGAGAGAGAGUGGGAGGC
rnacentral:lncRNA from 1 species